CCUACGGGAGGCACCAGUGGGGAAUAUUGCACAAUGGGCGCAAGCCUGAUGCAGCCAUGCCGCGUGUAUGAAGAAGGCCCUAGGGCUGUAAAGUACUUUCAGUCGGGAGGAAAGCGUUGAUGCUAAUAUCAUCAACGAUUGACGUUACCGACAGAAGAAGCACCGGCUAACUCCGUGCCAGCAGCCGCGGUAAUACGGAGGGUGCAAGCGUUAAUCAGAAUUACUGGGCGUAAAGCGCACGCAGGCGGUUGAUUAAGUUAGAUGUGAAAUCCCCGGGCUUAACCUGGGAAUGGCAUCUAAGACUGGUCAGCUAGAGUCUUGUAGAGGGGGGUAGAAUUCCAUGUGUAGCGGUGAAAUGCGUAGAGAUGUGGAGGAAUACCAGUGGCGAAGGCGGCCCCCUGGACAAAGACUGACGCUCAGGUGCGAAAGCGUGAGGAGCAAACAGGAUUAGAUACCCCAGUAGUC
rnacentral:rRNA from 1 species